rnacentral:sRNA from 1 species
GUCAACAGACUCAUUUCUUGCCGCUUUC